CGGCGGAGCAUGUGGAUUAAUUCGAUGCAACGCGAAGAACCUUACCUGGGUUUGACAUGCGCCAGACGCGUUCAGAGAUGGGUUCCUUGGGGCAGGUGUGACGAGCGCAACCCUCGUUCCAUGUUGCCAGCGGGAUGUCAAGUAUCAUGCCCCUUAUGUCCAGGCUUCAUACAUGGCCAGUACAAGGGCUGCGAGACCGUGAGGUGGAGCGUCCCUUAAAGCUGGUCUCAGUUCGGAUCGGGGUGCAACUCGACCCCGUGAAGUUGGAGUCGCUAGUAAUCGAGAUCAGCAACGCUGCGGUGAAUACGUUCCCGGGCCUUGUACACACCGCCGUCACGUCACGAAAGUUGGUAACACCCGAAGCCGAUGGCCUAACCCGCUUGCGGGAGGGAGUUGUCGAAGUGGGACUGGCGAUUGGGACGAAGUCGUACAAGGU
rnacentral:rRNA from 1 species